GGUAUAAUGUGAUGAUAAUUAUGUAAAUGUUGCAUGAUGUGAGUGUUGAUACCAAAAUUGAGCCGACCUAACCCACGUAUGAGCCAAUAAGGACACGUGGUACACCAGGAGUCGGCAAUAAGGCGCCUGAAGGACAAAAAGGCGGGAAUGGUUGAGGAUUAGGGCGUAACUUCCAUGAGGAGUUAGCGUAACUUCCAUGAGGAGUUAGUAUAACUUCCACGAUCAUGGUUACAACCACUCCCCCCAACUUCUUUCAACCAACUAAUAAUGUGGGCUAUAAAUAGUAACUUUGAAGCCUGCAAUAGGGGUCUUUGCCCCUGCGCACAAAAGACCACCCUUAUUUUCCUGCAUCUUUCUUUCUCGCAUUUACUGCUAUCCCUAGGAGUAGUUCCUGUAACUUAGAUCUUUGGAGUCUGUCUGCCCCAUGGGCAUCACUCCCUUAUAGAAUAUACUUGGAGUCUGUCUGCCCCAUGGGCAUCACUCCCUUGUAGAAUAUACUUGUAGUCUGUCUGCCCCACGGGCAUCACUCCCCUGUUCUUGUACUUUUUUAUUUUCUAUUCAAUAGAAAGUCACGUUCGGCUAUUCAGGCCGACCAGAUUUUGUGUUGUGCUAGCCAUUCGGCUCAUCUCCCGGCUUAAUUUCCGACUUUUCUCGCAUAUUCGGCUUAUCCAGCCGUACCAAAGAGUGAAAAGAACUUUCGGACCUGGCUGAUUCGAUCCCUCAUCGGUCG
rnacentral:lncRNA from 1 species